UUAACUAUACAGAUUAGUAUUUAUCAAAAGCACUCCACCGCUAAAACCAAAACCCUUCCCACGUUCUACGACUUCUACCUCUUCCUUCCUUCUCCCACCAUGAUUUACACGGUUAAGGAUCUGUUCCCAAUCGAAUUCAAGAGUUUAAUCCCAAUCCGAAUUCAAAAGUUUAAUCCCAAUCCAACUCGACUCAAAGCGAAAUUUCUCAAAUCCAAAUUUACAGAUUUCACUUCAAUCUAAAUCCAGAUAUUUUCUUAUUUAUCUUCUUCUCCAGCGAAUGUUUCUCGGCGGAGAUUAAUAUCUUGCGAACAUUUUUCCCGGCUUCUUGUGGUUGAAUUAUCAAUUGGUUUCGCACCAUUACCGAUUUAGGAGUUUGUUCAGCAUCUAACACCUUCUCAAUCGAGUGUCCUGCACAAGGUAUUACGGCUUGCUCGGAAACUAUGAGAUUUUCUUCUUGUUGGAAUCCAUACUGUCCAGACUGCCAGUUUUCAGAAAGACAGUUGCGUACUGGAUUAAGGUCAACUGGAACAAAAUCUUUGGAAUUGCAAGGGUAAGAUGCAGACCCGCUCACCACGGUCAAAGGGGGAACUUUGUUAGACGGUGUCCUCGGCAAAAGAAUGUCAUUGAUUUUGGAUAUUAUGUCAUGAGAUACAUGAAGAUUACUUUCCUGAUUGCAAUGUUCCGAAUUAUGAUCAAGGACAAAUUGAUGAAGUCAGAGCUCAAUGGAUGCGUCAUGUUCUUCUCGUGUGAAUAUUGUGAUGCAUAAUUAUGUUUUUCGACUAGAAUUUCUCUAGAACGUUUUAAUUUUAUUGGUUUGAAAUUAAAAGAAGUACUAUAUGACAACGAUACUUCUUUCUGUUUUCUAGUGUGUUUUUAUUGUACUGUGUAUUUAGGCAUAUAUGAUUUUAAGUAAUGUACGAGACAUCGAGACGUUUAUUUAAUAUGAUAGAAAUGAAGUUGGAUCUUAUAUAUAUUCAAUUUGA